rnacentral:rRNA from 1 species
GACGAACGCUGGCGGCGUGCCUAAUACAUGCAAGUCGAGCGAAGUUUUUCUGGUGCUUGCACUAGAAAAACUUAGCGGCGAACGGGUGAGUAACACGUAAAGAACCUGCCUCAUAGACUGGGACAACUAUUGGAAACGAUAGCUAAUACCGGAUAACAGUAUUUCUCGCAUGAGAGAUAUUUAAAAGUUGGUUAUGCUAACACUAUGAGAUGGCUUUGCGGUGCAUUAGCUAGUUGGUGGGGUAAAGGCCCACCAAGGCGACGAUGCAUAGCCGACCUGAGAGGGUGAUCGGCCACACUGGGACUGAGACACGGCCCAGACUCCUACGGGAGGCAGCAGUAGGGAAUCUUCCGAAAUGGGCGAAAGCCUGACGGAGCAACGCCGCGUGAGUGAAGAAGGAUUUCGGUUCGUAAAGCUCUGUUGUUAGGGAAGAAUGGAUAUGUAGUAACUAUACAUGUAAGAGACGGUACCUAACCAGAAAGCCACGGCUAACUACGUG